ACUUGCUAGUAAUUGAUUUUUGGUUGGUUAGAUUAACUUCUUAAUUGAUUUGUUAGUUGUUAAUGAAUUACCAACUGUAUAUCUGAGAGAUAUAGUAUUAGUUUCUAUGUUUUAAGAUGGUGAUGUUGGAGAAUUAUUAUGCUUGUAAUUGUAAAAGAAAGAAAGAACAGUGGAACAUCUUUACAGGAUUGUAUGCUAAGGAAAAACUUCAUUCUCUUCGAGUUUUAGCUAUAGACACCUAAUGAGAACUAAGACUACUAUAAAAUUGUGUCGUAGGUUUGCAAAAACUUUUGAAUUUUGUGGUCUUAAACUAAAGACUACUGAAUGUACAAUAACAAUUGUAGAAUCAUUGUGUUUGUUGUUAGCUUAUUUUGUUGUUUGAUUGCAGUCUUCCUUUUCUUACAUGAUCACAUUGUUGAAUAUAGAAAUAAACUCAAUGGUUUCUUGGGUAUACUGCCCGUUACUACAUUAGUUUCAAUAAUCAGAUGGCAAGUCCAUGUUUGCAUCUUUAAAUUCAUAAGGUGGCUUUCAUUGGGUGAAUUGAUUUUGUAUAUUGGUGUUAUCUCUAGAUUAUUUGUUUAUAUAAUCUCUUAACUCUACUCUUUAAUAGCUGCAAUAUUUUUGGUGAUGAUAAUACCCAACUAUUGAAUCACUUCAAUGAAUAGUGGUGGGACUGGAAGACACGGCGGUAACUGUCAUCUGGAGGAACUUCCUAACAUAGGAUCAUCCCAAGAGUUACUGAAGACAUCAUUUGAAUAUAACACUGUGAACAAUGUGCUGUUGGUGAAACAAAACAAAUCAGAAGCAUGGAAUUUGAAUUUGUUGAAAGUAACAGGGAUGACAGUCCAGAGAAGAGACGGUCACUCGUCUUUGUAUUACUUAUGCCCAAGGUUGGAUCAGCUCCUCUCCACCACCAAGACUGCAACCACUGGUGUCCCUGAUUGAUGGAACGUGCUUCUAUGUGCCACCUUCCUCAAACGGGAGUUAGCUCAUGCAAAUUUUUCAAAACAAACUUCUUGAUCGUCCGUAUUCAUGUCUUGCAGCAUGAGAAGUGAACAAGCAUUAUCUAGUAGAUUUCACUAGUAAGAAUUCAUUUUCAUGGAGAGAUAGUAUCUGACAAAUAGUAGUUUAAAGAAAUUUCAUCAUCUUUAAAAUGUGUUUCUAUUUCUGCUCAACGUUUUAUUUGGUUAACGUUAUGUCUUAAUUGUUUUGGUAGGUUGAAGUUUUUGAUUCUCAUUGAAAGAUGUAUGACACAUGAAAUACAAGUUGUUCAGUGACUACGUCUGUAGAGUACUGCUGAUUUUGGAGCUCGAGUUGCUGAUUUUGGAGACGGUUGAUGUCAGUGCCAAGGAAAACAAGUCUAUGCCUGUCAUUGCAGGGUCUUGUAGUUACAUUGCUCUAGUCUACACACACUAAAGGGAAUGACAAGAUGCCUGUGAGGUUGGUGAUGAAGGUGGAUUCAGUCUAAAUGUCCACAGUAACAGGGAAGGGCUUAGUUACAUUGGCAAGAUUGAAAUUGGCAUGAAUGUAGAAACAUCUGAGUUCUUGAUCUCAGUUUCAAGAUUGAAAUUGGCAUGGUGAUGCCAAGAUAAGCAACAGAUAGCGGCAAUUGAUAAGUAGAGAGUUACGAUCUCUUGUUUGUUGCCUUUUAGGUAAUUAUUUUCCUUGUUUAUUUGUUGUAUUACUUUAUGUGAGUUGUGACAAGAAUUUUAUGAAUUCGAUACUAUUGUGGAUUGUGACAUACACCGAAUUUGAUACUGCUGUGUAUUUUGUGCUUGGUGGACUGCA